rnacentral:rRNA from 1 species
UGGUGGAGUGAUUUGUCUGGUUGAUUCCGUUAACGAACGAGAUCUCGACCCUUAAAUAGGUGAGCCCGUUGACUAUGUGCUUCAACCUCGGUUGACACUAAACAGGGCAUACACUUCUUAAGGGGACUGCGUGCUCCUAGCACGCGGAAGAGCGAGCCAAUAGCA